GGGGCUGUAGCUCAGUGGCAGAGAGCUCACCUAGCAAGUGUGAGGCGCUGGGUUCAAUCCUUAGCACCA
rnacentral:tRNA from 1 species